rnacentral:rRNA from 1 species
AACGAACGCUGGCGGCGUGGAUAAGACAUGCAAGUCGAACGCUGAUUGCGAGGUAGCAAUAUUUCGCAGUUGGAGUGGCGCAAGGGUGCGUAACACGUGGGUAAUUUGCCGUAAAGCUCGGGAUAACUCCGGGAAAUCGGAGCUAAUACCGAAUGUGGUCAUUAAGGGGCAUCCCUUAGUGGCUAAAGUUGGGGACCGCAAGGCCUGACACUUUUCGAUAAGCCCGCGGCCUAUCAGCUAGUUGGCGGGGUAACGGCCCACCAAGGCUAAGACGGGUAGCUGGUCUGAGAGGACGACCAGCCACACUGGAACUGAGACACGGUCCAGACACCUACGGGAGGCAG